CACGGGGGGAGCAAGCGUUGUUCGGAAUUACUGGGCGUAAAGGGCGUGUAGGCGGUCAAGUAAGUGGAAUGUGAAACGCCUCGGCUUACCCGAGGACCUGCAUCCCAAACUGCUUGGCUUGAGUAUGGGAGAGGAUGAGGGAAUUCCUGGUGUAGCGGUGAAAUGCGUAGAUAUCAGGAGGAACACCGGUGGCGAAGGCGCUCGUGCUAGGCCGCAACUGACACUGAGGGACGAAAGCUAGGGGAGCGAAUGGG
rnacentral:rRNA from 1 species